CUGCAUCAGGCAGGAGGGUGCGCCUGAGCAGUGUUCUCAGUUGUCUUCAAAAGGAGGACACGAACCAAAACAAAAGAACAGCUGUCCUACUUGGUCUUCCAUGCUACCUUGCAGAAGAUUCCUCUGACAUAAUCAGGAUGUGUGAUGCUCAUGGUGAAACCCUUGACGUGCUAAUGAGCGGGAUGCAAGUUGGACUGUUGAUUGGACACGAAGGCCCUCUGCAUGAUGCAUUUCCAUUGGAUGUUUUCAACGUGGCUCUGGUAGUAGAGGAGAAGAUCAUCCUACAUGACCUCCGAGAUGUGUCCACAGGCUUUGCCAUGUUACUGGGUGCAAUCUACUGCCUAAACCUUGAGUACCCACGUAAUAUGAAGUAUUCUUUUGAGUUCCUGCAGAGGGUUGUCAUGAACAUUAAACCGGACCAAUGUUCAGCCAGAAUCCAUGGACUCAGAAAUAAACUGCUUAGAUAUCGCAUGUAAACAAAGAAAUGCACUCGUCAAGCAACUACUAGGAGGCAGCAGUUAUUUGGGAAGCUUGCCUUGUUCUUUACACUAGCAUACAGGUUUUCAUCGGCUUAGUUUGUUCAGCACAAGUCAGGUAUGCGUGACAAAUGUGUCACUUGUGAAGUUGAAAAAUCUGAAAUUGUUGAAAAAUCUAAAAUAGUUCAAAUGUGCAAAACAUUUUGAGGUAUAAUGAAAACAAACUUGUUUCGAAUUGUGGUUAAAGAAUCUUUUAGACGUGGAUGUUGAUGUUUUGUAAAGCUCUGCGUAUACCACAUUUUUCCUCUGUACAACUUUGCCAUACUUAUUCUCUCAUUGACAGUUUUAAAAUUGUGUUCAAUUAACACAAAUUUAAGUGAGGAUAAGUAAGUAAGUAUUUAUAAUGUACACCAUUGUUUUUGUUCAUAUGACGAUAUGGACCGGUUAUCUCACUUUUUGCCUCUUAUGACACCUGCCCAUCUGUCCCCCUUUCCCCAGCACUCUCGGUUGUCAACCUCAGUGAGGCCUGUUUUGAUGCCAAGACAUGUUUAAGAUGUAUCAAUGUUCCACAUUGUUCAUAUUCAUGUCGAGAUUUUAUGAUUAUCUGUUUACUAUCUCACAUACCUCAUUGUUCAACCCCACCUCACCUUCUUUCUUUCUACGAGUCCACCCUCUGUCUCGCUGUCUGUCUGCAAGUCCACCCUCUGUCUGUCUGUCAGUCCACCCUCUGUCAGUCCACCCUCUGUCUGUCUGUCUGUCUGUCUGUCCACCCUCUGUCUGUCUGUCUUGUCUGUCUGCAAGUCCACCCUCUGUCUGUCUGUCUUGUCUGCCUGCAAGUCCACCCUCUGUCUGUCUGUCUUGUCUGUCUGCAAGUCCACCCUCUGUCUGUCUGUCUUGUCUGUCUGCAAGUCCACCCUCUGUCUGUCUGUCUGCAAGUCCACCCUCUGUCUGUCUGUCUUGUCUGUCUGCAAGUCCACCCUCUGUCUGUCUGUCUUGUCUGUCUGCAAGUCCACCCUCUGUCUGUCUGUCUUGUCUGUCUGCAAGUCCACCCUCUGUCUGUCUGUCUUGUCUGUCUGCAAGUCCACCCUCUGUCUGACUGUCUUGUCUGUCUGCAAGUCCACCCUCUGUACAUUACAGAGACAUACAUUGGGUAUGGCAUGUUAAAACCUUUAACUUCUGUUAAAGUUUAUAUAAAUGUAUUUAUAAAAUAAAUGUUCUUGGACAAAUGCAAGAA